rnacentral:siRNA from 1 species
UCUUAAAUUUGGAAAAGAAACUGC